AGUGGGGAAUUUUGGACAAUGGGGGCAACCCUGAUCCAGCCAUGCCGCGUGCGGGAAGAAGGCCUUCGGGUUGUAAACCGCUUUUGUCAGGGAAGAAACGGCGGGGGUUAAUACCUCCUGCUAAUGACGGUACCUGAAGAAUAAGCACCGGCUAACUACGUGCCAGCAGCCGCGGUAAUACGUAGGGUGCGAGCGUUAAUCGGAAUUACUGGGCGUAAAGCGUGCGCAGGCGGUUGUGCAAGACAGGUGUGAAAUCCCCGGGCUUAACCUGGGAACUGCACUUGUGACUGUACGGCUGGAGUACGGCAGAGGGGGAUGGAAUUCCGCGUGUAGCAGUGAAAUGCGUAGAUAUGCGGAGGAACACCGAUGGCGAAGGCAGUCCCCUGGGCCUGUACUGACGCUCAUGCACGAAAGCGUGGGGAGCAAA
rnacentral:rRNA from 1 species